CGGGAAAAGCUCAAAUUUAAAAUCUGGUAGUCUUUGACUAUCCGAGUUGUAAUCUAGAGAAGCGUCAUCCGUGCUGGACCGUGUACAAGUCUCCUGGAAUGGAGCGUCAUAGAGGGUGAGAAUCCCGUCUUUGACACGGACUGCCAGGACAUUGUGAUGCGCUCUCAAA
rnacentral:rRNA from 1 species